UACAGAGGGGGCAAGCGUUGUUCGGAAUUACUGGGCGUAAAGGGCUCGUAGGUUGCCAACUAAGUCAGACGUGAAAUCCCUCGGCUUAACCGGGGAACUGCGUCUGAUACUGGAUGGCUUGAGUUCGGGAGAGGGAUGCGGAAUUCCUGGUGUAGCGGUGAAAUGCGCAGAUAUCAGGAAGAACACCCGUGGCGAAGGCGGCUCUCUGGGACGGUACUGACGCUGAGACGCGAAAGCGUGGGGAGCGAACAGG
rnacentral:rRNA from 1 species